AGCAGAAGUUUGGAAUCAUCUGUCAAGCUCCCAGAUAUGUUAAUCCCGUCUGUCCUUUCCAAACAGUUCACAAGGUCUUCCUUCCACAAGUGUUUGGAGAAUCUGACCACAUGGAUUUAAGCUUUCAUUCCACUGGAUCCUCCCUGGGUUCAGCAUAUUUCGCACUAAAGCCGAUUCUUGUGGAGUUGCAGCCAAAUACUUCAGACUCCAUUUCCCCGUGGCUCGGGUCAUCUCCUGUGUGCACACAAUCUUAUUCUUCUGGUGGAAUGUGCUUUUGUCAGUAACAAGGGUUUCCGCCACUCUUACUCUUCAAGGAUGCAUAGUAAUACUGAGUCUUCCCAUCCGGACAGAGGAAGAAUGCAGCUGUUGUUACAGUUCCCACCAUUUUCCAACAGGGGGCGGUGAUGAUGCUGAUUACUCUGUCAUACAGUAACGCAGCUUGCCUGUCACUCACUUCAUUUCUCUCCGUGGAGCGGACAGCACACAGUCCCUCAACACUGUGCAUUUAUAAUGUUAUGUGACUGUUCAUGUAAUGUGCCUGGUUCACCAGCGGGUGGCAGCAAACUCGGCAGAGCUAUAAAUAGAAUGGAACUCACCAUUCCAUUCUCCCCCCUUUGGUCAGAAGUGGGCAAGUCCUGCUUGUUACCAGAAGGAGGCGGGGCAGUUCUAGUUUGUUCUGGUUGAGACUCCAUGUUGGAGCUGCCAGGAUUCUACUUUUUGGCUGAACAUAAGUCCGACUACACUAGUGAAGUGCAGCAUAAAGAGGAAACAAAGACACCAAGUCAGCUUGUCAAUACAGCAGAGUGAGAGUAAGAUAUAGCAGAAUUGAGUUUGCCUGCCAGUUUAAUGCUAAAGCCUGCUGGAACCAAGACAAAGCCUGUAAACUGUUUGAAGAAACGUUUAUUCAAAGUAAA